rnacentral:rRNA from 1 species
AAGGAUCAUUAUCGAGUUUUGACUGGGUUGUAGCUGGCCUUCCGAGGCAUGUGCACGCCCUGCUCAUCCACUCUACACCUGUGCACUUACUGUGGGUUUUACGGGUCGUGAAAUUGGCUCGUUCAUUCGGGCUUGUUGAGCGCACUUGUUGCCUGCGUUUAUCACAAACUCCAUAAAGUAUUAGAAUGUGUAUUGCGAUGUAACGCAUCUAUAUACAACUUUCAGCAACGGAUCUCUUGGCUCUCGCAUCGAUGAAGAACGCAGCGAAAUGCGAUAAGUAAUGUGAAUUGCAGAAUUCAGUGAAUCAUCGAAUCUUUGAACGCACCUUGCGCUCCUUGGUAUUCCGAGGAGCAUGCCUGUUUGAGUGUCAUGAAAUCUUCAAUCUACAAGCUUCUUAUGUGAGUUUGUAGGCUUGGACUUGGAGGCUUGUCGGUCCUUUACAGGUCGGCUCCUCUCAAAUGCAUUAGCUUGGUUCCUUGCGGAUCGGCUUGUCGGUGUGAUAAUGUCUACGCCGGGACCGUGAAGCGUGUUUGGGCGAGCUUCUAACCGUCUCGUUACGGAGACAACUUUAUGACCUCUGACCUCAAAUCAGGUAGGACUACCCGCUGAACUUAA